UGUAACUGACGCUAAAGCUCGAAAAGUGCGGGUAUCGAACAGGAUUAGAUACCCUGGUAGUCCGCACGGUAAACGAUGGAUGCCCGCUGUUUGCGAUAUAUUGUAAGCGGCCAAGCGAAAGCGUUAAGCAUCCCACCUGGGGAGUACGCCGGCAACGGUGAAACUCAAAGGAAUUGACGGGGGCCCGCACAAGCGGAGGAACAUGUGGUUUAAUUCGAUGAUACGCGAGGAACCUUACCCGGGCUUGAACUGCAGCAGGAGGAUACAGAGAUGUUGACGCCCUUCGGGGCUGCUGUGGAGGUGCUGCAUGGUUGUCGUCAGCUCGUGCCGUGAGGUGUCGGCUUAAGUGCCAUAACGAGCGCAACCCCUUUCGUCAGUUGCCAUCAGGUUAUGCUGGGCACUCUGGCGACACUGCCACCGUAAGGUGUGAGGAAGGUGGGGAUGACGUCAAAUCAGCACGGCCCUUACGUCCGGGGCUACACACGUGUUACAAUGGGUGGUACAGAGAGUCGGUCGCAGGCAAUUGCGGUCUAAUCAUGAAAGCCAUCCUCAGUUCGGAUUGGGGUCUGCAACCCGACCCCAUGAAGCUGGAUUCGCUAGU
rnacentral:rRNA from 1 species